AUACGGAGGGUGCUAGCGUUAUUCGGAUUUACUGGGCGUAAAGGGCGCGUAGGCGGCUUGAUAAGUCAGAUGUGAAAGCCCGGGGCUUAACCCCGGAAGUGCAUUUGAAACUAUUAGGCUUGAGUAUGGGAGAGGGAAGUGGAAUUCCUGGUGUAGCGGUGAAAUGCGUAGAUAUCAGGAGGAACACCGGUGGCGAAGGCGACUUCCUGGACCAAUACUGACGCUGAGGCGCGAAGGCGUGGGGAGCAAACAGGAUUAGAAACCCGAGUAGUCC
rnacentral:rRNA from 1 species